rnacentral:rRNA from 1 species
GUCUAUGGCCAUGCUACCCUGAACAUGCUUGAUCUCGUCUGAUCUCAGAAGCUAAGCAGGGUCGGGCCUGUGGUUAGUACUUGAAUGGGAGACCACCUAGGAAGACCAGGUGCUAUAGGCA